rfam:Arthrospira platensis NIES-39 DNA, nearly complete genome.
AGGAGCCGUAUGAGGUGAAAGUCUCAUGUACGGUUCUGCUGCUGAAUGGGAGGGGUAGACCGUGAGGUUUAUCUCGACCCCUAAU